AAAAAUGAUAGAAUUCGGAAGCAACAGAAGGUCUCCCACCUUUUUUUCAUCCUUGCAGAAACUUUUUCUCGUCUUAGCAUCAAGCUUUGCUUGGAAAGAUCAAACUUAGCAUCAAGAUUCUUGUCUAACCUUAAAGGCCUCAAACUGCAAAAGAAGAUACGUUCAAAAAGGCUCUUCCAUUUUAUUAACUCAAUUACGUCUAAUUAAAAAAAGGAGUACAUCAAUAUUUAUAGGUGGAGGCUUCU
rnacentral:lncRNA from 1 species